rnacentral:rRNA from 1 species
UGAGGAAUCUUGCGCAAUGGGGGAAACCCUGACGCAGCAACGCCGCGUGAGUGAGGAAGGUCUUCGGAUCGUAAAGCUCUGUCAGUUGGAAAGAAAUGUCUGAGAGUCAAUCCCUUUCAGGCUUGACGGUACCAACAGAGGAAGCACCGGCUAACUCCGUGCCAGCAGCCGCGGUAAUACGGGGGGUGCAAGCGUUGGUCGGAAUUAUUGGGCGUAAAGAGCGUGUAGGCGGCCGGAUAUGUCAGAUGUGAAAGCCCCGGGCUUAACGCGUGAAGUACAUUUGAGACGGAACGGCUCUAGUAGGGGAGAGGGAGGUGAACUUCCUGGAGUAGAGGUAAGAUUCAUAGAUAUCAGGAGGAACACCGGUGGCGAAGGCGACUUCCUGGCCCUAUACUGACGCUGAGAUGCGAGAGAGUGUGUAGCAAACAG